ACAGGUUUGUCCCCGGCAAACUCCAGGGUGUAUGGUCCAUGCCAGGUUCUGGGAUCUCAGGUGAAAACAGGGAUGGGCACAGGAAUCCCUCCCAACUCAUGGAGACAGAAUAACAGCAGCUUGCUGACGUCUGGGCUGUUAGGUUUGCUCUAGCGAAGGGAUGAGAAAUUCAGACCAUCUUUCAUACAUUUCUAACCUCCGUGCAAAAAUCGUCAGACACAACCCUCCAACGCCAACAGGGUGAUCUGAGAAACGCUGGGUGAAGCUAGGCGAAGCUGUCCCCGUGGCCAAGAAGGCUCUGCCCACGCAAACUUUGAAAAUGUCCCUCCCUCCCUCCCUUUUUCUUCUCCUUUCUAUUCCCUCCGUACUGCCCACCUUCCUUCCCAGAGCCAUGAAUGGACGUCUCCUUCAAAUCAGCCAGUGUCUUUGUGACAUACACCAGCAAAUCUCUCUAAGGCCUAAGCUCCCAGAAGUUUUGAGGCUCAUGCUGGGAAGAGGAAAGAUUUCUGGUGAUGGGGGUCUCACUCCGAGGGGUUGGGGACUGGUGGCUGGUCACCCCAAGCCAGGGACAGUUGGCAAGAUGAAGAAGAUGAAGAAGAGGAGAAGGCACAGAGAAAAGGCCACGUGAGGACAGUGAGAAGAUGCCAUCUGCACGCCAAGAAGAGAGUCCUUGGGAGAAACCAAGCCUGUCAACACCUUGAUCUUGGACUUUCAGCCUCCAGAACUGUUAGACAAUAAACUUCUGUAGUUGAAUGCA